rnacentral:pre_miRNA from 1 species
GAUUUCAAUUGAAAAAGUCAUCAACAACAAAGUUGAAUAACUCAUCAAGAUCUAAAACUUUUAUUUUUGUUAUUUCUUCAUCUGACGAAAUGUUAGUAAUAUUAUUCAUAAAUUUUACAUAUAUGUGCUAUAGUUUAUAAAAAACCAGAUAAGAGAUAUGUCAAUUUUGUGAACAAUGUUACUAUCACUUUGUCGUAUGAAGAAAUGACCAAAAUAAAAGUUUUAGAUCUUGAUGAGUUAUUCAACUUUGUUGUUGAUGACUUUUUAGUUGAUAUC